rnacentral:lncRNA from 1 species
UACAAAUAGCAGUGGUAACAAGCUAGUGUACUACAUCAGCCCUAAAAUGCAGAGGAAAAUGAAAACCAGAGUGAAAAUGAAAAUGAAAUCCAAAGCAGUCAUGCUGGCAGAUCCAAGAAUCACAACUGCAAGGAGAAACAGACAAUCCUUGGAUACUGAGAAAAUAAAACUGGAACAGAUCUAUGGUAGCACCAUAUGGGAGAAGGGCAACCAUAUGAAAGUCAAAAAGAGUUCCACUUUUAGUAUGAAUAUGCUCACAUGA